rnacentral:rRNA from 1 species
GGUUAAGCGACUAAGCGUACACGGUGGAUGCCCUGGCAGUCAGAGGCGAUGAAGGACGUGCUAAUCUGCGAUAAGCGCCGGUAAGGUGAUAUGAACCGUUAUAACCGGCGAUUUCCGAAUGGGGAAACCCAGUGUGAUUCGUCACACUAUCAUUAACUGAAUCCAUAGGUUAAUGAGGCGAACCGGGGGAACUGAAACAUCUAAGUACCCCGAGGAAAAGAAAUCAACCGAGAUUCCCCCAGUAGCGGCGAGCGAACGGGGAGGAGCCCAGAGCCUGAAUCAGCAUGUGUGUUAGUGGAAGCGUCUGGAAAGGCGCGCGAUACAGGGUGACAGCCCCGUACACAAAAGCGCAUGUGCUGUGAGCUCGAUGAGUAGGGCGGGACACGUGGUAUCCUGUCUGAAUAUGGGGGGACCAUCCUCCAAGGCUAAAUACUCCUGACUGACCGAUAGUGAACCAGUACCGUGAGGGAAAGGCGAAAAGAACCCCGGCGAGGGGAGUGAAAAAGAACCUGAAACCGUGUACGUACAAGCAGUGGGAGCACCCUUCGGGGUGUGACUGCGUACCUUUUGUAUAAUGGGUCAGCGACUUAUAUUCUGUAGCAAGGUUAACCGUAUAGGGGAGCCGGAGGGAAACCGAGUCUUAAUUGGGCGUUAAGUUGCAGGGUAUAGACCCGAAACCCGGUGAUCUAGCCAUGGGCAGGUUGAAGGUUGGGUAACACUAACUGGAGGACCGAACCGACUAAUGUUGAAAAAUUAGCGGAUGACCUGUGGCUGGGGGUGAAAGGCCAAUCAAACCGGGAGAUAGCUGGUUCUCCCCGAAAGCUAUUUAGGUAGCGCCUCGUGAAUUCAUCUCCGGGGGUAGAGCACUGUUUCGGCUAGGGGGCCAUCCCGGCUUACCAACCCGAUGCAAACUGCGAAUACCGGAGAAUGUUAUCACGGGAGACACACGGCGGGUGCUAACGUCCGUCGUGAAGAGGGAAACAACCCAGACCGCCAGCUAAGGUCCCAAAGUCAUGGUUAAGUGGGAAACGAUGUGGGAAGGCCCAGACAGCCAGGAUGUUGGCUUAGAAGCAGCCAUCAUUUAAAGAAAGCGUAAUAGCUCACUGGUCGAGUCGGCCUGCGCGGAAGAUGUAACGGGGCUAAACCAUGCACCGAAGCUGCGGCAGCGAACGUAUCACUUAAAGCGAUUCAGCGGGUUACGAUUGACGGAGCGAAGCGACGUCAAAGCGUAUACAAAGUCGAGUCGGUUUAAGGAUACGUUCGUUGGGUAGGGGAGCGUUCUGUAAGCCUGUGAAGGUGUGUCGUGAGGCAUGCUGGAGGUAUCAGAAGUGCGAAUGCUGACAUAAGUAACGAUAAAGCGGGUGAAAAGCCCGCUCGCCGGAAGACCAAGGGUUCCUGUCCAACGUUAAUCGGGGCAGGGUGAGUCGACCCCUAAGGCGAGGCCGAAAGGCGUAGUCGAUGGGAAACGGGUUAAUAUUCCCGUACUUGGUGUUACUGCGAAGGGGGGACGGAGAAGGCUAUGUUGGCCGGGCGACGGUUGUCCCGGUUUAAGCGUGUAGGUGUGUGUUCCAGGUAAAUCCGGUUCACUUUAACACUGAGGCGUGAUGACGAGGCACUACGGUGCUGAAGCAACAAAUGCCCUGCUUCCAGGAAAAGCCUCUAAGCAUCAGGUAACAUCAAAUCGUACCCCAAACCGACACAGGUGGUCAGGUAGAGAAUACCAAGGCGCUUGAGAGAACUCGGGUGAAGGAACUAGGCAAAAUGGUGCCGUAACUUCGGGAGAAGGCACGCUGACACGUAGGUGAAGUGAUUUACUCAUGGAGCUGAAGUCAGUCGAAGAUACCAGCUGGCUGCAACUGUUUAUUAAAAACACAGCACUGUGCAAACACGAAAGUGGACGUAUACGGUGUGACGCCUGCCCGGUGCCGGAAGGUUAAUUGAUGGGGUCAGCGCAAGCGAAGCUCCUGAUCGAAGCCCCGGUAAACGGCGGCCGUAACUAUAACGGUCCUAAGGUAGCGAAAUUCCUUGUCGGGUAAGUUCCGACCUGCACGAAUGGCGUAAUGAUGGCCAGGCUGUCUCCACCCGAGACUCAGUGAAAUUGAACUCGCUGUGAAGAUGCAGUGUACCCGCGGCAAGACGGAAAGACCCCGUGAACCUUUACUAUAGCUUGACACUGAACAUUGAGCCUUGAUGUGUAGGAUAGGUGGGAGGCUUUGAAGCGUGGACGCCAGUCUGCGUGGAGCCGACCUUGAAAUACCACCCUUUAAUGUUUGAUGUUCUAACGUGGACCCGUGAUCCGGGUUGCGGACAGUGUCUGGUGGGUAGUUUGACUGGGGCGGUCUCCUCCUAAAGAGUAACGGAGGAGCACGAAGGUUGGCUAAUCCUGGUCGGACAUCAGGAGGUUAGUGCAAUGGCAUAAGCCAGCUUGACUGCGAGCGUGACGGCGCGAGCAGGUGCGAAAGCAGGUCAUAGUGAUCCGGUGGUUCUGAAUGGAAGGGCCAUCGCUCAACGGAUAAAAGGUACUCCGGGGAUAACAGGCUGAUACCGCCCAAGAGUUCAUAUCGACGGCGGUGUUUGGCACCUCGAUGUCGGCUCAUCACAUCCUGGGGCUGAAGUAGGUCCCAAGGGUAUGGCUGUUCGCCAUUUAAAGUGGUACGCGAGCUGGGUUUAGAACGUCGUGAGACAGUUCGGUCCCUAUCUGCCGUGGGCGCUGGAGAACUGAGGGGGGCUGCUCCUAGUACGAGAGGACCGGAGUGGACGCAUCACUGGUGUUCGGGUUGUCAUGCCAAUGGCACUGCCCGGUAGCUAAAUGCGGAAGAGAUAAGUGCUGAAAGCAUCUAAGCACGAAACUUGCCCCGAGAUGAGUUCUCCCUGAGACUUAGAGUCUCCUGAAGGAACGUUGAAGACGACGACGUUGAUAGGCCGGGUGUGUAAGCGCAGCGAUGCGUUGAGCUAACCGGUACUAAUGAACCGUGAGGCUUAACCUU